AUGGCGGCGGAGGACGUGGAGUUCGUGGACUACGAGCGGGACGACGGCGACGAGGAGGACGGGGGGAUGGAGGACGGGGAGGUCUCGGCCCGCGCGCUCCCCGUGCCCCACAUCGCCGCCCCCGCCGUGCCGCGCACCAGCAGGGGCCGCUUCGUCGGCCGCAGCCGCUCCGUCAUCGCCUCCACCCGCGACCGCUUCGACUCCCUCCCCUUCGCCGGCACCUCCGCGCACGGCGGCCCGCAGCGCUCAAUUGAAGGAUGGAUAAUAAUUGUCUCAGGAGUCAAAGAAGAUGCAGAAGAAAGUGAUCUGUAUGAUGCUUUUGCUGAGUUUGGUGAGGUCAAGGACUUGCAUCUCAACCUGGAACGCCGCACUGGAUAUGGCAAGGGAUAUGCAUUGGUUGAAUAUGGAUGUUUUGAGGAAGCACAAACUGCAAUCAGAAGUAUGAAUGGGACACAGCUGUUAACAAAGACCAUCCAUGUUGAUUGGGCAUUCAACAGAGGUCCUAUACAGAACGUCACAAGUGCACGUGCAGGCCUGAAAGGUGCGGUGCGGCCAGGGGAUCGACAUGACGAGUUGCCAUCGCCGGUCCACUUCUCUCCAAGGCUCGGUGCCUCGGUCACCAUACUCGCCUCAUCUUCUUUCUUUUGGGUCCAUCUUGCCCUUGUCCUUGUCUUCAUGGUCGUCGUGGGAGCAGCGGUUGAAUACGCAAUAGCGUCGGUGCGGCCUUUGCGCAUUGCUGCCAUUGACCUUAGACUCGGGGACAAGGGUCCAGCGCCAGCCAGCCUCGGAGGCUCUCUGGGCUACGAGUCGGGCCCUCCUUUUGACGCGUAG
rnacentral:rRNA from 1 species